rnacentral:misc_RNA from 1 species
UUACUGAUUUGCUUAAUUGCACCACAUGUGUUUUUCAUUGAACAACUGCUUUGGCGGGGGGACACCCUAGUCUCGCCGCCGAGGUCACAACUAAACAAAACUUUUUAUUACCAGUCAAACGAUUAUACUAAUAGUCAAAACUUUCAACAACGGAUCUCUUGGUUCUCGCAUCGUAAAAACGCACCAUUCACAACGGAUCUCUUGGUUCUGGCAUCGAUGAAGAACGCAGC